UUAUGUGUACUGAAAGCAAAAUGCUCUAAUCAAACAGUCAGCUUUUAUGCUAACAUACACAUACGAGGUCGACCAAAUACAAACUCCUCUCAAACUUGAACCUAGCAUAAACUCCCUGGCUAAUUCGCCGCGAAAGCGAUAACGUUAGACGUUAGUCUUUCUGUUUGGGAGGCUUCUUUGUUUGCUCUGAACUUCUUUAACGUGGUUUACUGCUUCUCGUUCUGGGCUUUCCCCCCCUUCUUUUUUUUUCUUGUCAGUUUGAAGGCAUAUCAAAUGGCGACGAACUGUUAACGUCCCCGGGUUAGCCUAUUAUUUCGACGCGGAGAAGUGUAAUCUCAUGAACGGAGAGCAGAAAUGAGCUGGCCGUAGGGCAAAGCACCCUGAUACCUUAUCCAGUCCGCCGUAAUCUGUGGCAGAAGUUGCCAUUGAAACGGAAAGGUAGGCUGCCUGCGGUCUGGGGCUCUUGUGUAACGGUCGCUGUGAAUCCCUGUUCACCUCAGUUGAACUUGUGUGAUCUAGUUCACUAAAACGGAACGGCGCUGUCACUCCGGGUCUAAGCGGGCGAGCGAAGCUGCCUUCCGAGCAAAAAAAGACCAUUUUGAAUCGUUCACAGAAAUGGCACAUAGAUUGAAAGACAAAGCCAUUUCGACGUUUGGUGGACGGUACGAGGAGAUAGCUUCCUCGCUGACAGCGGCGGGUGAAGCGACGGUUAGCCCACGACUACCCCCCUCUCCUCGGUCUCGGUUCGGCUUUGCGAGGCGCUGCUGCGUGCGGUCAACAAAAGUAACCGGGGGACAGGAAUUCACCAUGAAGAAUGACAUCUUUUCCACCGCCUGUCGACUGGGGACAUAUACUUGAACUUCACCUUGAAAAACUGAGAGCUAGCCGUGAACACCGGCUCCGUGGCUAGAGGCUAGUUUUUUUUUGUCAUUUUUGUAUUUUACACACGGACUCGGAGGCUAGCAAGCUUGCGGAGCGACGUGGCUGUAACCGAAACAGCCGACUGUGACCCACCACUAGUGGGGCUUAAAAUGGCGAAAACUUGUGCACACAGUCUCUGAUUCAGGAAGGUCCUUUUGCCUGUUUGUUGAUCAGACAGAAGAAGAAUUUUGGAGAUGAGUGGAGAGUCUCAUGCUUGGCACGAUGAUGCAGAGGCUGACCCCAGAGUUCACAGCUGUAAUUGAGAAGUCUUGCAGACACGUGCGCAAGGGGGCCCAGGAGAGACCACCACCGCGGCGAGCUCGCUACCUCUCCGGCGCGAGGGAGUAAAAGGUAUGUGAUAAAAAGGUGGCUUUUUUCUUCUGAAACAUGAAACAAAUUCUUCUUUUAUUAAUUCUUACAUUUAAUCUAAUCGCUUGAUUUGAAAUAUUCAGGAGUACUAAAUGUUGGCAAGUGCUGCUCAGUCAUCCCUAAUGCUGAACAUUAAAUGUUAAUUAGAAGCUUACCCUGAAAGUUUUAUGGGUGACCUUUGUGACUUUAAGUAGCCCUUGGCAUGUGUGCAAGUCAAUCAAAAAAGUGUUUUUUUUUAUCUUCUGUGGACCGUAGCAUUUAAACACAGCAGAGCAGGCACUGUCAGAGGCUCGUGAACAAUGUGGCGUUUGCUCUGGCCACUGACGUCGCAGCCCUCGAUUCACUCCCUCCUGCCCAUCUUAGAGCAGAUUUUUGCUUUUUUUCUAUGAAUAGCUGCAUGUUAUUUAAAGGGUCACUUUGAGAGAAUGAGAAAAAUUUUAAGUUCUUUUCAUCUGCUUACCAUAUUUCUUGUAAUUACGUGUUAGUUUGUCUGUCACAUCUGGAAACGAAGUUGUCUGUGUUGAAUUACUGUAUUUUUGGUUUCUGCUAAUCCUCUCAGUUUAAACAGACAAUGUACUGCACAGCUGGAUUGUGACCCUUAACAAACAUUUCCUCCUCAGCAAACUGCUUGCUUUGUUGGUUGUGCAUGUAUUUGGUGUAUAUUGCCUUGUAAAAAUCACAAGUCUAUUAAUGUAGAUGUUUUGCCUCAAAAAUGUGCAGAAAAGAAAUGCUGAAUAAGGGAAGUAUAAAUUAUAUAACACAAUUGAAAACCCUUCCCUGCUACCUUGAUCCAGUUUGCUUUUAUUUUAGUUUUCUUUUCUAAUAAUAAAAAAAAUCUAAAGUUUAAUGUAUAUGUAUGUAUUUGGAUAGACAGACUGGUACAUGUACAGUCAUGUAUUGAGCUCCGGCAGCCAUUUUGUUUGUGAAUGAAAGGACAUUUUGCUCACUGUUGCCUGGCUAUAGUGCCAUUAUUGCUAUAGUGAAAUUUAAUGUACACUGGUCAUGUACCUGUUUGCUUUGAUUUAUUUUUUUCCACUAAAUGAAUGGGAAGAGAAAGGAUAUCAAAAAAUCUUCUGCACUACUAAUGAUUCAUGCAUAUGUAACAGUUUGCCAUUACUUAAUUCGUCAGCUUAUUGCUGCCUGCUGCUGCUCUGUAAUAUGCAUUAACAAUUUAAAUCUGCUCUGAAAACAAUAUAUUGGAAAAACCAGCCAUGAUAAUUAAGGGGUAAUAGGGGAAGGUUUACCCCCUCAGCAAAAAAAAAGACAAAACAGCUUUUAAAAUUGCGAGAGCCUUUUUACAAAUGAUCUUGGUGGUGACGCAUGAAAUAACCCUGAGGUUGUGCAGUGAAAAGUAUCAUAAAGAGUUUGUUAUGAUUGGCGUUUGAUCAGUGGUGCUCCCAGUCCAUCGGUCUUAUGAACGAUAGGCCUUAUAGAGCAGCAUAGUGUUUGGGAGUUGGCAGCCAACCCAAAACCAAAAUUGUAUCCUCGAGUGAACUUUAAUGCAGUGAACGACACAACACACAAGCCAAACCCUUGCUCCUUAGAGGCAGGUUAAAUAGUAAACAAGCAGCAGAUGAGAACAGGGUCUCACUGCCACCAUCACUGCUAAUACAAUAAAUUUCGGAUGGACGAUUUGUUACUGCUCUCCUUUAGCGCCUGCAAGAGAUUUAGCCGUUGCACGUGUAAAAUGCGCCUAACUUUUUUCGCCAUUUUGCGAUUGGUCAAGAGAUGUGGCGCGAUGUGACGUCAGGGCGUUUUUAGCCCCUGCCAAAAUAAGUGCACCGUCUGCUUUUGUUGUUCGAAAAAUUAGAAUAAAAAAGGAGAGAAGUGCUUACUUUUUAGUUUUUUACCCCUUCGCCGUUUUCACAUGGCAUCGUGCAGCCUAGAUUUGGUGUUGAAUUGAAGGUGUGGUGUGUGUGGUUUGCGCCGACUGCUCGUGUAUGUGUGUGUGUAUGGAAUGACUGGUCAGUGCCAGCAGCAGAGAACGAGGGGAGAAAGCUGGGAGAGGAGGCCCAGGAUGAGGCAGAGAGAGGGAGAGAGAGCCUGGGCGGACCGGCCGCUCUCUCUGUCCCUCCUCCGUGUCAGAGAGUGUGUGUGUGUUUGUGUGAGAUUGUGUGUGUGUGUGUGUGUGUGUGUGAGUGAGAGAGCUCGUUGAGCAGUAGCAGCAGCCUCCGUGUGGCCGUGCUAGGUGGACGUGGCACAGGCUUUUGUCACGGCGAACGGAGCGCCGUCAGCUAAACAUUGCGAAGCAUUAAAAACAGCAGAUCUCUCUGUGUGUACUGUAACACAGACAGCUCCAUCUAUCCUGUUCAGAGCAUGUGCACUGCUCUCUCUCUCUAUUUCUCUCUCUGCUUCUCUCUCACUGUCCUUUCCUCAGGGACAUGUGUACAAAGUUUUGCGUUUCCUUUGUCUUUUGCUGUCUUUUUAAGGCAGUUAGUUUUUUCGUGUUAUAAAUUAGCGACUUAAAAAAGGAUAAAAAAUUGUAUAGCAAGGAACGUUUCCAAUGUUUAUAACAUUGUAUUAUAACUUUUAAUAAUACAUUUCUCACUAAACGUUAAUAGAUGUCUAAUAUUCCUUCGUUCAGCCUCAUAGAGAAGCAAAGGAGAGAGUAUAAGAGUGUUUGUGCAUGUGCUCGCGCAUGCGCGCUUUUGUGCUUUGCAACACAAAAUGGGGGAUGCAAUGGGGGAUUCUCGAUAGCAUUCUGGUGAAUUAUAUUAAGGCUUCUUCACUGCAUCAUUAUCACAUAGCGUUCAGACGACUGACAAAAGCGUUAUCGCUCCCAAACAUGGCGUUUGAGUUUUGGUUCGAUCAUGAACUUUGCGUCAGAAUUGAGAAAAGAAGGAACAAUGUCACAGUGCAGAACGUGAUCGGGUUAAUACAGCAAACCGCACAAACCCCUCCUUCUCUUCCACUGUGAAGCACACUUCUCAACCUUGGGCAGAGUGUCAGGUAGGCUGUGCCCUAGCUGUGGUGUGGCUGCAGUGCGUGCGGCGUCACUGCAGAAGAGUUCUCCCUGCAAAUCACAGCAGCUGUUUCACCUCUGAGCAUAGCAGUGCUUCUAUCAGCUUCUGACUGGUGGCAGUAUGGCGUGCGAGGGGGCUGUAAGGUAUUACAGUCAAACUGCCUGACCAGUAAGUUCCCCAGGGACAUGAGCACAAACGGAAAAAACUGUUUGGCAUCGUCCUGGCACCAUCUCUGACACUUUGGAGCGGUUGCUUCCAGCGGAUAGAUGUUUUACUCUUUCUGUGGGUUGUUUUUUUCCCCCUCAGAGCAGCAAUGGACUCGACCGUCGCUUGUCGAAAAAUGAUUCAAGCCGUGCUUUUGUUUUUUUCUUGCAUUUUAUAUGCCCUUUUCAUGUCAACUGUUAAUUCCCAUUCAUUUGUACUAAUAACUGUGUAUAUGCAGAGAAGUCAUUUUUAAUUUGGGCAGCGAAGGCGCAAAUGCAAACUGUACUUGAAUAGUUAGCAUCGUAAGUGAGUGUGUAUGUGUGAGUAGUCCUUGGGAGAACUGGAGUCUGUGUCACUCUUUUCUCCACCCUUUUCACCCCUCCCUCCUCAUGCUGUCGGUUUUUCUCUCGUGCUUAGUGGCUGCGGUGAAGAAUAAAAAAAAAAGGCUGCUUUGCUCGUGUUCACUGCAAGCUCCCUUAUUUCAUCAUCCUCUUCUUCUUCACUUCUCUACCUCGCUCGCUUUCUCUCUUCCCUCUCUUUCUAUCUUUCUUCCUCUCUCUUUCUCUCUCACUCCUCCAGACUUGGCCGCAUGCGAGUAGUAGAAUGGAGAGAGAGAGAGAGAGAGAGAGAAAGAGAGAGAGAGCAGAUAAAAAAGAGAAAAAAAGCGUCUGCUGCUAUUUCUACAGUAAGGUCCUCCCCUUCAGGCAGCCUGUGCCAGGAGAAGGAGGGUUUUUUACUACUCUCUGGAUUUUAACCCUCUGCCUCCAACCAGUCGCCAAGACUAGUUCCUCCAGUCCUACCAGAAGUUACUUUCCUGGUAUUCUUCAUAUUUCCAUCACAUAUCUUUAGCUUUUUUUUUUCGUGACUGCUCUUAACUGUUGCAUUUGCUUUCCUUUAUUUUCACAGGUACCGAGUGACUUCUGUCUGUGCUGCUGCUCUCCCGAUAUCAAAACGCUUUGCGGAUGCUUGGUUUGAACCUCCCGGCCGUGUUUUGUUUAGAUCUGGAGCGCAGGUGUUUGUGGUCAUCGCUCAGGUUUCUCUCGGAUGGUCGCUUGUAGCGCUGAGGUUUGAAAAUGGCUGUGGUCUUCCAGCUUGUUGCAUGUCUCCGAGUAGGGAAGUGGGAAGUGCCAAUAGCUCUAUUGCUGAAGCACCGCCCUCUCUCUCUCUCCCUCUGUCUUUUUCUCUGGCUCUCUCGCUCUCUCGCGUUCUCUCUCACCCUCCCUCUCCUCAUGCGCACACAUACAGUGCUUCUUUCACACUCCUCUCCUCUCCUCUCUCUCUCUCUCUCUCUGAAAGGAGAGCAGGAGGGCGGUGCAGUGGUGGAGCUUUUUCUGGGACAGGUGCCAAUUCCAAACAAAAGACAUAAAAAGGCAAUGAGUGAGAGAUGCCUCCAUCGAAAGAAAGAAAUAUGUUGCAUGUUGAAACGAAAGAGCAGAUUUGUAGCGACCAUGCAUGCUUGCCCGUGCGUUUGUGCGUGCGUACGCGACUGUGUGUUUAUUCAGCUGGAUGUAAAAGUGGACCGUCAGCAUGCAACGGGCGAGGGAGUAAGCCAGCGAGCGAGCGAGCUGAGAUUUGGAAUACUUUUCCUCCGUCUUCCCGACUCUCUCUCUCCCCUCGCGCUCUCACCGUCCACUGAAGGCAUUUC